rnacentral:piRNA from 1 species
UGGCCUCUCUUUAGUUACAUUUUGAAAG